GUAGUCGUGGCCAAGUGGUUAAGGUGAUGGAUUUGAAAACCAUUGGGGUUCCCCUGCACAGGUUCGAAUCCUGUUGGUUACA